CAAUAAGUUUAUCAGAAAACAACUUUAAUAUUAGUAUAUACAAAUUUAAUUGCAAGGUGGGUCCCAAUCACAUCCUUUUCUUGAAAUGUUGACCCGAGAAUAUAUAAAAAAUUCUUAAGCCACAUAUAUUAUUUAUUUGUGGGGAUAUGCAUAUAGUUUUUAGUUGAAGAAGAGAGGGUCAGGCCAAUUAUGCACAAUCCAUUUCUUUUGUGGCAACACAAGUGUGGCUAUUGCCCAUAGUUGUUGUGGUGUAUGGAGGUUGUCUUUUAAUUCAUCGUUACCUUGGAUUAUUCUUACUCAUGAUUUGGUUGCCUUUUGAUUCUAUUGUUUUUCUAAGAGGUUUGGUUUAAUGCCUCCCUUUAGGUACUAUCUUUCUUAUUUAGUAAACUUUGUUCGAUUGCGAAAAUAAAAGAGUUCUAAAGACGGGCGGUCGUUCUCUUUUGGGAUUGAGAUGAAACUAACAGUGUCAUACAACAUACAUCAAUCUUUCACAUGAAAAGUCUAUCUGUCGUGGGCCUCAUCCUCCAUGCCAUUUUACUCGCUAAGAAUAAUCUAGUUGUUGAGAACAUUUAUGAUUUAUCAUAUGGGAGCCUCUCCUAAGUUUUAUGCCUCGGUCUCCUUGGCUCUUUUGUUUUGGAAAUUCAUGCAAAGUAGGGUACGUACUGAAAUUUAGAAUUAAGGCGUAGAGUGUGAAAGAUGGACAAACAAACAAGUGUGGACUGGGCACACAGCAAGGGCAUCGGUUUUCUUACUCCCAUUGACUCGUUAGACUUGAAUCAUGACCAUAUCAACAUUAUUUCAAAUAAACCCAUUUUCCUGGAAACAUAUAUGCGCGCAUGUGAUGCUGAGAAUAUUGAAAUACAGCAUUUGAUUCAGACAUCAAUAUGUUGGGAAAGAAAUAAUGACAUGAUGUUAGAGGGACUAGCUUUACCAGGCUCUCAACUUUCAUGUAUAUUAAUGUGCAUGGUCCUAUUAGAAGGUCCAGUAGUUUUCAUCUCAAUGAAUUGCUCUUAAUGCUAAAGUUUAAGUCGAUAUUAAUUGAAUGGUUCUUAACUUCAUUGAUGAGAUUCAUGAGAACCGGUAGUUGGAAAAGAGAAAUCUUCAGUUUGAAAGCUCAAGAUCAAGGUCCCUCUAACAGAUAUGUUCAUUAUGAAACAGAAUUCUUCUUCUAAAACUUGUUUCACAUUGAA
rnacentral:lncRNA from 1 species